GAUAUUCUAAGAAUACAGAUGAUGAGGGCCUGAAUUAAAGUGAUAAAUGUAUGAAUAAAGAAAAGUGACAAAUGCAAUAAGUGUGGUAAAAGUUAAAAAAAAAUUAGUAGAAAAAGCAAGGUUUGGCAAGUGAUUGGAUACUGGGAGGGAGGGAGAGAGGAUUCCAGAAUAACUGUGAGAUUAUGAAUCUGAGACACUGGGAAGAUGGAUGGUGGUGCAUUCAACAAAAAUCAGGAAGUUUGGAAGAGAGGAGGAUUCAGGGGGCAAAAAUAAUACACUGGCUGUUUGGAAGGUAUAACAAAUGUCUCCCAAGGGAGGAAAAAGUCGACAUUCUCAAGAGAAAUAGUGGAAAAAAAGUGGUAAGGGGUCUCAAUGUCCACAGCUACCGGAGCACAGACCCACCGUUCAACAAAAAGUGCUGGACAAACUGAAAAAGUCUGACAGAAAUUAGAUUUAGAGCUAGACCUCACACUCCAGUCACCAUAAUGGCCACAUCAUAAACUAACGAGAGGAGUAAGGAAGAAAACCUUUUUCACUGUCACGGAUAGGGGAAGAGUUCGUGGCCAGAUAGGAGGCGUACAAUUAUCUGAUAAAGGUCCUACGUCAUCUAAACACCCGUAUCACAUAUACACCCAUAUAUUAUACAUGUAAAUGAAUAUACUACGUCUUCUAUAUUGCCAGAGGCAGAGCGAGACAGAGACAGAAACAGAAACAAAGGCAGAGACAGACUGGGACGUGAGAGUAACACACACACCACCUAAAAUGGAGGCACCCACUUCUUUUCGAAAUGCCAGCGCCUUAUGUCUAGGAGAGGACAUUCUCCAUUCCCCUACCACGUGAGCGGGAAGCGCCUCUUCCCAUUGGCUACGUAAGCGGAACAGCCUGCGUCUUGACCACUAAUGGACGGGGACAGUGUCACACGUAGACAGUGGCGCGCUAUCUCCUUCCGGCAGCGGCCCUGAAGUGACGACUGGACUGGCCUAUCCCGCCACGGCUUGGACACGUGACCCUCCCUUCUGGGCCCCGUGAGCGUCCCGUACAGGCCCCGUGACCGGCCAGUUCAGGCCCCGUGAUCGGCCGUUCUAGGCCUCAUGGUCCUCAGAAUCCGGCCUUUUUCUGUUUCAUUCGUCCUUUUCAGUUCUAGGUGCGGGCAGUGGACUCCCGAGAGCCCGUGAGCUUGGAGGCAGGAUUCCGGAACGAACAGCGCCCCGCCAGCCCAGCAGAUCUUUUGGCAGCAUGAAGCCUGUGGACCCUUUCUCAGAAAAAUGUUUUUAAAUCAUUGAAGAAAAUGACUGAAUUUCAAUUUAGAGGCUAGUGAAAAUGAAGGGACCCAAAGCCUCUGGACCCAAACCACAGUUUCAAUUGUAAUGGAAAGUUUGACUCCUUUGCAAAAUGACAGUCUCACAACAGUGGUUUGCCAUUAUGAUGAGGAAGGACUGGCUGAAAGAGGCACAAGCACCGAGCUCUCUCCGUUUCUCUCUCCAACAUCCUUUUUUUGUCAUCGGCCAAUGCGAUGGGUGUGUGAAGGCCAGGACAAAGCCAGGAAUAGGAAAAGGAGUAAGAAAAAGGACCUUGAAAGGAAAGGGCUGCGGGUCCCCCCUCUCACGAGUCAGUACUCUCAACCUCAGGCUUGGCCUGGAAUUCACAGAAUAACCUUGCUGCUUGUUGACUUUGCUUCCUUUCUUCCAGCCUGGGGAAAAAGGGCCCUUGCUUAUAAAGCUAUGAAAAUAGUCAAGACAAACUAAGGAACUGAUUAGCUGAUCUACUUAUGGUACAGAGACUCUGCCAAAAGAUAAAGAAAGCUCUUUGCCUCCCUGGAGAAAAUUCAACUUGAUCUUGGUGAAUCAUGGUCUACUGCUGUAAUCUCAAGAGGAAGGCCCUUCACACCCAUGAAGACAGCUGAUAAAAUGCCAGGACUGGAACCCAGAUUUGCGGACUCCAGAUCUAAUGUCCUUUUGGUAAAUGUGAUUAACCAGAGAGGAACGAAGCGGCGGCUGCAAACACUAUCAAGGCACUUUGGGAGUCAGUAUGUGAGUAUGCUCUCAUAUUGCAAGCUACCAGGGACAGGGGAAUCAUACUUUUCACUUCUGGAGAGAGCCCCUACCCCCUGGACGCGCACACACGUCCCCAAGCGAACCAAAGGAUAAGAAAGUACCAAGGGUGAUUAGCUAAGCUGAGCUGUAGUCUUCAGGAGGACCAUACCCCUUAGCCUAGGGUCCAUUCAUUGUCUGAGCAGAACUGUCCAUGCUAAGUUUGUGUCACGAAGUUUGGACUUCUCCCACCCUUUUCAGCUUUAAUGGGGAGGUUACAUUAGGUGGCCUCUGAGAUCCCUUCAGACGUGCUGGGAUUUGUGGGAACUACCCAUAUCAGAGCCGUGUGACUCUGGAUGAGUCACUUAGCCCCGUUUGCUUCAGUUCCUAUAUCUGUAAAGUGAUCUGGAGAAGGAACUGGCAAUCACUUGGCAAAUCUUUGCCAAGAAAACCCCAACUGGGGUCUUGAAGUGACACAACUGGACAAUAGUCAUCCCCUGAACUGAAGUGCCUAAUACUUAGUAGGUGAUUCAUAAACAUUUCUUGGGGUAUUAGCCCUUAAUGGCCUGGAGAGGGUCUGCCCAUAGCCUUCUGGCUCAGGUUUCACUGCCCAAGUGAAGUUUGUGCUUGGCCCUAUCACUU